CCCCCCUGACUACUUGAAUACCGAGACUUGGAAACCGGUUUGCGAAUUGUUCGUUAGCGAGGCAUUUUUGAAUCGUUCAACUAAAAAUAAAUCGAAUCGGCAACUAAUGAAAUAUCCAACAACGCAAGGCACAAAAUCGUUGGCGUCCAUACGCCACGGAAUGGGGGGUCCUCCUGGAGAGCAUGUAGUUGAAGCAUGGAAGGAGAUCCAUGUGAAAAAACCGUCUGGAACUUUCGUUAAUGAAUUAGCUGCAAAAGAUUAUGAGGAACUGAUCAAGGAGCUUGAUAGGAAGCGACUGGAACGACAAUCCCAGAGCG